rnacentral:rRNA from 1 species
UACGUAGGGUGCAAGCGUUGUCCGGAAUUAUUGGGCGUAAAGAGCUCGUAGGCGGUUUUGUUGCGUCGGCUGUGAAAUCCCGAGGCUCAACCUCGGGUCUGCAGUCGAUACGAGCAAACUAGAGUGUUGCAGGGGAGACUGGAAUUCCUGGUGUAGCGGUGAAAUGCGCAGAUAUCAGGAGGAACACCGGUGGCGAAGGCGGGUCUCUGGGCAACAACUGACG